GUCCACGCCCUAAACGAUGUCUACUUGCUGUUGGGGUAACCUUAGUAGCGAAGCUAACGCGAGAAGUAGACCGCCUGGGGAGUACGGUCGCAAGAUUAAAACUCAAAGGAAUUGACGGGACCCGCACAAGCGGUGGAUGAUGUGGAUUAAUUCGAUGCAACGCGAAAACCUUACCUGCUCUUGACAUGUACGGAAGACUUCAGAGAUGAGGUUGUGCCUUCGGGAACCGUAACACAGGUGCUGCAUGGCUGUCGU
rnacentral:rRNA from 1 species